UACCAGACUCCUACGGGAGGCAGCAGUGGGGAAUAUUGCACAAUGGGGGAAACCCUGAUGCAGCGACGCCGCGUGGGUGAAGAAGCGCCUCGGCGCGUAAAGCCCUGUCAGCAGGGAAGAAAAUGACGGUACCUGAAGAAGAAGCCCCGGCUAACUACGUGCCAGCAGCCGCGGUAAUACGUAUGGUGCAAGCGUUAUCCGGAUUUACUGGGUGUAAAGGGAGCGUAGGCGGCGCGUUAAGUCUGAUGUGAAAACCCGAGGCUCAACCACGGGAGUGCAUUGGAAACUGGCGGGCUGGAGUGCCGGAGAGGUAAGCGGAAUUCCUAGUGUAGCGGUGAAAUGCGUAGAUAUUAGGAGGAACACCAGUGGCGAAGGCGGCUUACUGGACGGCAACUGACGCUGAGGCUCGAAAGCGUGGGGAGCAAACAGGAUUAGAUACCCCAGUA
rnacentral:rRNA from 1 species